GAGGGUAUAGCUCAGUGGUAGAACACAUGCUUAGCAUGCACAAUGUCUGGGUUCAAUCCCCAGAACCUCCA
rnacentral:tRNA from 1 species